rnacentral:lncRNA from 1 species
ACAAAGAUAACAAUUGUGGUGGUAGAGGUAGAGAUCAAAAUAUGAGUUUUUUUAUCUUUCAGAAUAUUGAAAGUAAUUAUUUAUUAAUUUUAUUUUUUAGAAAAUAAUGGAAGUAAUAUUUAAAAAUAAAAAAUAAAUAAUAGCACCAAACAUAUUUUUUAUCUUGAACUUUGUAAUUUUAUUUUAAAAAUAGAAUCAAAACUUUACAAAUUAUUAAAUUAACAAUGGCAAAUAAAUCAUCUCGGUAGUGGUAGCACGAGCACCGAUAAUUUGGUGGAGAUGAUGAAAAUUGUAGCAAUUGAGUGGAGGUGAUAGCAACAACAGUGAUGGCAAUAAUAAC